rnacentral:tRNA from 1 species
CGGGCGAUGGCUCAGCUUGGGAGAGCACUCGGGUCGGAUCCGAGAGGUCGGUGGUUCGAAUCCACCUCGCCCGA